rnacentral:rRNA from 1 species
GACGAACGCUGGCGGCGUGCUUAACACAUGCAAGUCGAACGGUAAGGCCCUUCGGGGUACACGAGUGGCGAACGGGUGAGUAACACGUGGGUGAUCUGCCCUGCACUUCGGGAUAAGCCUGGGAAACUGGGUCUAAUACCGGAUAGGACCACUGCCUACAUGGGCGGUGGUGGAAAGCUUUUUCGGUGUGGGAUGGGCCCGCGGCCUAUCAGCUUGUUGGUGGGGUGAUGGCCUACCAAGGCGACGACGGGUAGCCGGCAUGAGAGGGUGACCGGCCACACUGGGACUGAGAUACGGCCCAGACUCCUACGGGAGGCAGCAGUGGGGAAUAUUGCACAAUGGGCGCAAGCCUGAUGCAGCGACGCCGCGUGAGGGAUGACGGCCUUCGGGUUGUAAACCUCUUUCAGCACCGACGAAGCGCAAGUGACGGUAGGUGCAGAAGAAGGACCGGCCAACUACGUGCCAGCCGCCGCCGUAA